CAGCAGCCACGGUAAUACGAGGGGGGCAAGCGUUGUUCGGAAUUAUUGGGCGUAAAGGGUGCGUAGGCGGCUUGACAAGUCUUGUGUGAAAUCUAUGGGCUCAACCCAUAGUCUGCACGGGAAACUGUCGGGCUUGAGAAUGGGAGAGGUGAGUGGAAUUUCCGGUGUAGCGGUGAAAUGCGUAGAUAUCGGAAGGAACACCUGUGGCGAAAGCGGCUCACUGGACCAUUUCUGACGCUGAUGCACGAAAGCUAGGGGAGCAAACAGGAUUAGAUACCCCCGUAGUCCCUGUCUCUUAUAU
rnacentral:rRNA from 1 species